rnacentral:rRNA from 1 species
UACAGAGGUGGCAAGCGUUGUUCGGAAUUACUGGGCGUAAAGGGCGCGUAGGCGGCCUCGCAAGUCCCGUGUGAAAUCCCUCGGCUCAACUGAGGAAUGGCACGGGAAACUGCGGGGCUUUGAGUUCGGGAGAGGGAAGCGGAAUUCCGGGUGUAGCGGUGAAAUGCGUAGAUAUCCGGAGGAACACCGGUGGCGAAGGCGGCUUCCUGGACCGAUACUGACGCUGAGGCGCGAAAGCUAGGGGAGCAAAAGGG